GUGGGGAAUAUUGGACAAUGGGCGAAAGCCUGAUCCAGCCAUGCCGCGUGUGUGAAGAAGGUCUUCGGAUUGUAAAGCACUUUAAGUUGGGAGGAAGGGCAGUAAGUUAAUACCUUGCUGUUUUGACGUUACCGACAGAAUAAGCACCGGCUAACUUCGUGCCAGCAGCCGCGGUAAUACGAAGGGUGCAAGCGUUAAUCGGAAUUACUGGGCGUAAAGCGCGCGUAGGUGGUUUUGUAAGUUGGAGGUGAAAUCCCCGGGCUCAACCUGGGAACUGCCUCCAAAACUGCAUGACUAGAGUACGGUAGAGGGUAGUGGAAUUUCCUGUGUAGCGGUGAAAUGCGUAGAUAUAGGAAGGAACACCGGUGGCGAAGGCGACUACCUGGACUGAUACUGACACUGAGGUGCGAAAGCGUGGGGAGCAAACAGGAUUAGAAACCCGAGUAGUCC
rnacentral:rRNA from 1 species